rfam:Brachypodium distachyon strain Bd21 chromosome 1, whole genome shotgun sequence.
CAUAUACUCCCUCCGUACCAUAUUAAUUGUCUCAAAAUUGUUCAAAUAUGGAUAUAUCUAUACCUAACAAACGUUUAGAUACAUGUAAUAUUUCGAUAAUUAAUAUGGGACGGAGGGAGUAAUCG